AUGAACGCUGGCGGCGUGCCUAAUACAUGCAAGUCGAGCGAACAGACGAGGAGCUUGCUCCUCUGACGUUAGCGGCGGACGGGUGAGUAACACGUGGAUAACCUACCUAUAAGACUGGGAUAACUUCGGGAAACCGGGGCUAAUACCGGAUAAUAUAUUGAACCGCAUGGUUCAAUAGUGAAAGACGGUUUUGCUGUCACUUAUAGAUGGAUCCGCGCCGCAUUAGCUAGUUGGUAAGGUAACGGCUUACCAAGGCGACGAUGCGUAGCCGACCUGAGAGGGUGAUCGGCCACACUGGAACUGAGACACGGUCCAGACUCCUACGGGAGGCAGCAGUAGGGAAUCUUCCGCAAUGGGCGAAAGCCUGACGGAGCAACGCCGCGUGAGUGAUGAAGGUCUUCGGAUCGUAAAACUCUGUUAUUAGGGAAGAACAAAUGUGUAAGUAACUAUGCACGUCUUGACGGUACCUAAUCAGAAAGCCACGGCUAACUACGUG
rnacentral:rRNA from 1 species